rnacentral:lncRNA from 1 species
GGUACUAGUCUUGUAGAGGGAUAUGUCUUCUUGUAAAGUUAAUGUAUUCAGUCAAAAAAGAGAACUUCUUGUUAACAAUAUGAAUAUGAGUAGGAAUACAAACCAAUUUUUUUUUGGUAUGCAAAUCCAGUCUGAAAGUCCUUGUUUUAAAAUAAUGGGUCUAUUACAUUUCAAAAUUAUUUCCAAGUCUGUAAAAUGUUUGUGACCCCAGUGGCCGAUCCAGGGGUUGGGGUUGGAACCCCCCCCCUUUUUUUUUUAAUGAUAAUGCAUUUGAAUGGGGAUAUAUAUUUAAAACCCGCACUUUCUCCUGGGUUGGAUCCCCCUUUUUUUUAAAGAUUGCUGGUUCCGCCUCUGAACCCUUUCUCCCUUCCUUAUUUGGUAAAGACAUAUAAGAUUGUGUCCAUAGUACCACGGAUGCCCCAUCCGCACUAUCAUUUUCUAUGUCAAGUACUGGACUUUGAAAAUGGAGGAAAAAACUCUAAUUUGGCAUUAAAAUUAGAAAGAUGAUACCAUAGGGAACAUGUGUACUAAGUUUCAAGUUGAUUGGACUUCAACUUCAUCAAAAACUACCUCAACCGAAAACUUUAACCUGAAGCGGGACGGACAAACUAACAAACGGACGCACAGACCAAGAAAACAUAAUGCCCAUAAAUGAGGCAUAAUAAAUGUUUGCCUUGGAAAACUCCCUUAACAAUUUGUAUAACAACAGCCAGUCUAGCCUGUCAUAAUUCAGUAACUACAAGUUAUUUAUCUAUUCUUGAAAGAUAUGACUGUUUCAACGCCACUUGUAGUACUCCUAGCUAUUACAAGGCUGCCAGUUUUUAUUGGUGGCAGAAGCCAUAUAAAUGGCACCUGAAAAACCACCGACCUUCAGUGUCUGUAAAUGUUGUCCAAAGUUUCUGUUGAAAUGUUUGUACUGGUUUGAGGUAUUGCUGAUUAAAAGUGUUGACGUCUGAUUAAACAAAAAACAUCCUUUACCAAAUUGUCCAAUUCAAGGGGAGAUAAACAUAUUGAAAUAA